UUUCAGGAAAAGCUGCGGUUACGCAAGACAAAAUGAGAAAUGAACAAAUUGGAGGACAUGAAAAGUCCUGCAAGGAAGACUGGAUGAGGCAAAUAGGAAGAUUAUUAAAAUAAGGUUUUUGACAUACUAGUACAUCUUGCGCUCCAGUGUUGGUGACGUACUAGUAUGCGUAAAUUCUAGCGCCCUUGAAUCAAGCAGGAAAAGGCUAAUAGGCCUAGAUGUGAAAGUAA